rnacentral:rRNA from 1 species
AGUGAACGCUGGCGGUAGGCCUAACACAUGCAAGUCGAACGGCAGCACAGAGGAGCUUGCUCCUUGGGUGGCGAGUGGCGGACGGGUGAGGAAUACAUCGGAAUCUACUCUGUCGUGGGGGAUAACGUAGGGAAACUUACGCUAAUACCGCAUACGACCUACGGGGGAAAGCAGGGGAUCUUCGGACCUUGCGCGAUUGAAUGAGCCGAUGUCGGAUUAGCUAGUUGGCGGGGUAAAGGCCCACAAAGGCGACGAUCCGUAGCUGGUGUGAGAGGAGGAUAAGCAACACUGGAAAUGAGACAAGGUACAGACUCCUACGGGAGGCAGCAGUGGGGAAUAUGGGACAAUGGGCGCAAGCCUGAUCCAGCGAUACCGCGUGGGUGAAGAAGGCCUUCGGGUUGUAAAGCCCUUUUGUUGGGAAAGAAAUCCAUCUGGUUAAUACCCGGGUGGGAUGACGGUACCCAAAGAAUAAGCACCGGCUAACUUCGUGCCAGCCGCCGCCGUAA